rnacentral:rRNA from 1 species
UACGGAGGGUGCAAGCGUUGUUCGGAAUCACUGGGCGUAAAGGGCGUGUAGGCGGUCAAGUUAGUGGGACGUGAAAUGCCUCGGCUCACCCGAGGACCUGCGUCCCAAACUGCUUGGCUUGAGUAUGGGAGAGGAUGUGGGAAUUCCUGGUGUAGCGGUGAAAUGCGUAGAUAUCAGGAGGAACACCGGUGGCGAAGGCGCACAUCUGGCCCAAUACUGACGCUGAGGCGCGAAAGCUAGGGGAGCAAACGGG